UUUCUGUUUGUGUUUUCGCAAAAUAAUGAAAUGUUAAGGAUCAAUAAUUUAAUUAUGCGAAGUUUAUGCUCUGCUUAAGACACGUGAAGGGAAGUAAUCUGCUAAGAACGUGUUCACACUGACACAGAGUUUUCCAAGGUCUGGUAACAAAUCAAGAUGAAGGUCCUCAUUCUGAUAUGUCUUCUUCUGUCAAUUAUUCAAGGGGUUCUCGGAGAACCAUGUUUGGAAGGCGCUACAUUCAAAGACAUGUCAAACUGUAACCAAUGCGAGUGUCUGGAGGGCAAGAAAGUCAAUUGUAGAAAAUAUUACUGCUUCGAGCUGACCGAGUGUUACCGAAACAACUUCUUGAUCGGCGAAGGCUCGAGUGACUGUUGUUAUUUUUGCAACUAAAGUCAUCAGCAAACAAUUAAUUGAGACAGAUAAAGCGACGGAAAUAAAGCAUUAUCAUUUUGUUUACCAAUAUUAUCGGGAACAUUAUUAAAGAAUAUAUAAUUUCAACAAAUUUUAAACAGAAGGAGUUAAAUAAAAAAAUAAUUCAAUAAAAAUGAUGUGUAACUAAAAAUUUUAA